CAAUGGCAGGUACAGCGGGAAGCCAUAUGGCGACAUAGAGCGGAACCCGAAAACCUGUCUCAGUUCGGAUUGGAGUCUGCAACCCGACUCCAUGAAGCUGGAUUCGCUAGUAAUCGCGCAUCAGCCACGGCGCGGUGAAUACGUUCCCGGGCCUUGUACACACCGCCCGUCAAGCCAUGGGAGCCGGGGGUACCUGAAGUGCGUGACCGCAAGGAGCGCCCUAAGGUAAAACCGGUGACUGGGGCUAAGUCGUAACAAGGUAUC
rnacentral:rRNA from 1 species